UAAGAAAACAUGAAGUUGCUUUCAUCACUGAAGAACCUUGGCCAAUUUUCUGUAGAUCUUCUCUAACUAAUCUCACCUGGUCUGCCAGAAGAGGCAUGAAGAAAAGACGCCGCCCCUGCGCCAUAGUGUGAUUGCUUAGAACUUCCUGUACAAAAAGGAAUCAUGUGAAAGCACCUGCGAUGGUUUCUAAGUUUGACAGGAUUCUCUUUUUCCUGGUUUCUCUUUAGAGGGAAAAAUAACAUAAAUUUAAAAGCAAUUCCAGUCUGAAGCAGAAUUAAUCUGCUUGUAUAACAAAAUCUCUCAUCUUUUUCUGCAUAUUACUAUUCUUAGAGGAGUUAAAAAGAAUAUACUUUUUAAUGUCUUAGAACUCUCUAACAAUAAAAAGUACAAGAAUUAAAAUUUCUCUUUCAUAUUCUUAUAAUUUUCCAAAAGUCUUAAAAUCAGUAUUUCUAUGUUUGAGUGAUUUUUUUUUUUCAAAAAUGUUAAAUCUGAACUCAAAUGCACUGAUCAUUUGGCAUUACAGAAUAGGGAUAAGUCAGUUGUUUCAUCGAUUAAUUAUAUAGAGAGACUAAGAAAGAAGCUACUGACUGCUACCAUUUAUAUUUUAUGGGCUUUAAUGUUUACGAAAGUAUUUUUUAAUUUUAAAUAACAUCAAUGAAGUUGUAAAGAAAGUUUGAAAUACCAACUGAAAUGAUCAUUUCUGAAUCUAUUUCUCAUUAUGUAAUUAUAAGAACCUAAUGUUUGAUUUCCUUUGAAGUCCUGUUAGAUUGUUCUACCUUGUUAAAUACACUCUUACUUUGUAUUCAUUGAAAAGAUUGCUCAAUGCCAUGAAGUUUUUAUUUUACCAUAAGUUAUUCCAGGUAGGAAAUUUACAAAUUUUUUUCUUGAUUAGAAAUUUUGCUUUGUAAACAUUAUAGAGUAGGAGAAGCCAUAAGUCAUUAACCCUUAUUUUGCGAAAAUAAAAGAUUGGGAUUGCUAUACUAUAAAGAAUUUGAGUUAGAAAUUCUGAAA